AGCUGAAUAUCUAUGAAGAAAUCAUGAGAAUGUUCGUGAUGAUAACUGUGGAAGCCAGUAAUGCCGCUUACAGCAAUGACAGAACCAACCAAUAUAGACAUGUAUCAGGAGCUGUUAUCAAUGCAUUGGCGAAUAUAGCUGCCAAAUACAGGGUGACUCUGAAAUGAACGAACUGCUUGUUCGCCUUCUAGAACUUUUCGGCAGCUAGGAUUGGAGGGGAAGCGGGCAUCUGAGAAGGCUCCUGCCUCAAAUAAGGCGUCCAGCAGUGCAGGUAACCUGGGAAUGUUGAUACCAGUGAUAGCAGUGCUCCUGAGACGACUAGCUAUGAUUCGUCAGCCGAAGCCGCGACUGCACAAGCUGUUCCGAGAUUCUGGCUCUACUGUGUCGUCAUGGGG